GGCAACACAAGUGUGACAGUUGAGGAUAUCUGGAUAUAGCACAUGAAUGAAGACCUAAGCUUUUGGAACAACUGUUGGAAUAGGGCUUACAUAGACAUAGACAUGAACGCUUUUGGUUCUGGAGGUGGCCUGGAACCAAACGUCCAUGAAUCUGAAGGAAGGAGAGACGGCAGCUGACAUUUUCAAUUUGACAAGGCACUUGCGCUCUACAUUGUUUGAAAUAAAAAUUUGCAGUCAUGUUGUGGCUAGGUAAUUCAAGCAUAUGGAAUGCUUAAACGUUCAGAAACAAUAGGCAGUCGGGAACUCCUAUAUCAGAAUACAUUUUUGUACUUUGACAAGUGACAGAAAAGAUAUAAAAGAAUGUCCCGCUGUUAGAGGAGCCCAGACUGAAAUCCACUCUACAAUGACCUUGUGGGAAAUCAGAAUGGUGGAGGGGCACACCGAACUCUGACAGAAUUGAAAAAGAAUACAGCCUUCUGAAAAGUAUGAGGCAGUAAUGACCAGAGUUGUCAUUUCAAGAACAUGGUUUAAUGAAGAUAAAUGCGAUGACCAGUUAUUGCAGGCUGGAGGGUGUAAUUUUUCAUAAAUUUGCGAUUAUGGCUGGGAGUGUAUGACGAAGAUCGGGGGAGGGCAAAGAUAAGCUGGUUUACCACAGGGUAGAAAAUACACAUUUUAGGAGGCUCGAACGGAGGACCGCUGCAACUGCUGCCAGAUGGAUGUCUCCAGAGGGCCCGGAAAAUGUCUCACCCUGAAGACAAAAGUCCCUGUUUUCCCGAUUCAGCCCACGAUCCAGCCCGCAUCCUUUGCCACCACUUCCAUGCCCAUCUCCAGGCAGAAUGCCACGGAGGCGACGUUAGAACAGAAAUCAUCCCUUUCCCCAGCCAACGCAACCCGCUCCUGUGCCAGAACACCCGGGAGUCGGGCGCUCCAGCCCCGCCCCUCCC